rnacentral:sRNA from 1 species
UGAUAAGGCCUUCGACACUGUCGGCGC